rnacentral:rRNA from 1 species
CGUGCAGCCGGGAAUGCAAGUCAGAUGUGAAAUCCAUGGGCUUAACCCAUGAACUGCAUUUGAAGCUGUAUUUCUUGAGUACUGGAGAGGCAAUCGGAAUUCCUAGUGUAGCGGUGAAAUGCGUAGAUAUUAGGAGGAACACCAGUGGCGAAGGCGGAUUGCUGGACAGCAACUGAGGUGAGGCGCGAAAGUGUGGGGAGCAAACA